GCCCGAUUAGCUCAGCUGGUUAGAGCGUCGUACUAAUAUCUUGUUUUCGAGAUAUCAAGUCCAUGCGAAGGUCAACAGUUCAAUCCUGUUAUUGGGCA
rnacentral:tRNA from 1 species